GACGAACGCUGGCGGCGUGCUUAACACAUGCAAGUCGAACGGAAAGGCCCUGCUUUUGUGGGGUGCUCGAGUGGCGAACGGGUGAGUGACACGUGAGUAACCUGCCCUUGACUUUGGGAUAACUUCAGGAAACUGGGGCUGAUACCGGAUAGGAGCUCCUGCCGCAUGGUGGGGGUUGGAAAGUUUCGGCGGUUGGGGAUGGACUCGCGGCUUAUCAGCUUGUUGGUGGGGUAGUGGCUUACCAAGGCUUUGACGGGUAGCCGGCCUGAGAGGGUGACCGGCCACAUUGGGACUGAGAUACGGCCCAGACUCCUACGGGAGGCAGCAGUGGGGAAUAUUGCACAAUGGGCGGAAGCCUGAUGCAGCAACGCCGCGUGCGGGAUGACGGCCUUCGGGUUGUAAACCGCUUUCGCCUGUGACGAAGCGUGAGUGACGGUAAUGGGUAAAGAAGCACCGGCUAACUACGUG
rnacentral:rRNA from 1 species